UCUCCCCCCCCCCCCAGUCUACCGCAGAGCGUGUUCGCACGCGCAUGCGAGAGGGCCGCGCCUCUUCCCAGUGCAGCCGGCAGGUCAGCUCCUGAGCGGGUGGAGAAGGGCAGUGGGCCUCCGCUCUGUCUUUUUCGGGCCCGUAAUCUCUACGUUACCGGCUUUGCCCAUUCCUAAUAUUUUAAUAGUGGAGGCAAAGUGGACCCUCGCGCCCGGAGGCGACAGAAACGCCCGACGCCUCCUUCCCUCAGAUGCGCGCGUGGCCAUCGCUCGACUCUCUUUUCCGGGUUUCCAGCCUUGGAGGCCUUGAGCCAAGUCUCAGUCAUUCAAGGCCACAGAGGAAGUUCUCUCAGGUCCCUUUUCAACGGUUUGCUAUAUUUGCUACAUGUUUGAAAGGGCAGGAAAAACGUGCGGGCGUAACGGGAGGCUCAGGCCUAACGCUGCGAUCCGUUUUACUUUUUAAAUUAAGCUGUGGAGCCAUCUUGGGAAAUGUACCGAUCCCAGUACAGUAUAGUUGACCAAAUACAAAAGGUGACCUUGGCCGUUUUCAGUUGUUUUUUCAGUCUUUUAUUAUGUGUUGUAUAUGAACUUGCUCCAAAGGGCUUGGUGUUUAUCCAUGUGUGUCUGAAUAUUAAAGUUCCAGUUUAAACUGCAGUGUUAUGAAGAAAUUAUUAACACUGCUAAAGUGCACUUUUUAUGUUAUCUUUGUGAUAGAAAAUGAAAGGAAAUAAUGCUUUUGAAUUCCAUAAAUAAAAAUACAAUAUUUGAGAAGCAAUCCACAUUUACAUUGCACAGAUUUAAACUAUUUCAUGCUGCCAUGUAAAUGAUUAAAAAUUGUAUAAUGCACUAAUCUUUUGUUAAUUACCUUAGGAUUUUAAAAUGUUGAAGUCCUGUAAAUGGCAAAGAUCUUAACAAAAUGAAAAAAGAAAAAAUGGACAGAAAUACAAAUUAAACUGUUAAUUUUAAUAAAGUAUGGUAGCUUUAAUGUUACAGCUUCCUAAUGGAUUCUUGUACACUUGUGAGAAAGGUCUAUUAAAAACCUCAUAAAGCUUUGAAAGCAGAUAUUUGUUAUCCCCUAACUUUCAUUUGAUGACAAAAAAGUGUACGCAAGCAAGACAUAGGUUAACCAAGAAUUUAAAAACUACCACAUAUAAAGGGCCCUCACUAAAAAUGCUGCUAUGCAUAAUAUCAGAAUUGUUUGAAGUGGUCAUUAAGUUUGAUUAUUUGCAUUUAUGAAGGUAUUCAUACCUCUUAAUGUGUACAGCAAAUACUCCAACUUGACUCUGUUCAUGUUUAUUGGAAUUCAGUUCUCAGAUUUCCUAGCCAAUGCAAUCAACAUGCCUGAAGACCAACAGAUUGGUGAAAACUGUCUUGUAGAAAGAAACCUCACAAUUAUUUGCAUUUCUAAGUUCAGCUGGCAUAGCUACUUUGAAUACAGUGUUGCUGUACACUAACAGAAAAGGAAAAAAGAAUAUGUCUGAAAUGAUUAAGUUAAAUGUCUUCAUCAGGGACAAGAAAUCUUUGUACCUUUUUUGGGCCCCUGAAAAGGAAUUUAAUCAAGAAUGUGCUUUAAAAAUGAAUUGAAAAUGCAAGAAUUAUAAAAAGAACCCUUUUAUUUAAGUAAAGGUAUUUGAAAAAUGUUGAAUACUGUAUUAUUUUAGAAAUCUGUACUUUAUUGCAUUUUCCUUAGCUUCUCUGAAUGUGUGAAUGUCAUUUAUAUAAAGAGAAUCCUUAUUUCAUUUUCUUAGCACCUAGCAAAUUACUGAGGGAAUAUAGUUGUUCUUACAAAAACCAACACCAUUUAUUGAUUUAGAGUAUAUGUCACUGACCUCUAUUGGGUAAUUUCAACGAUGUUUUGAAAUAUGUUAUUUUUUUCACCCUUACUGUAUGACCUGUUCCUCAGGAAAUUGCUUUUCUCUAGUUACAUUUGCUUUAAAUUAUCUUUUCUCAUAUGCUCUUACUUGUUUGUAUCUUAAUGUAGAGCUGUCAUACCUGGACUGCAUGAAUAUAGAUGACCACUGGGUGGAAACAAAGAUACACAGAAAACUUUAAUAUACUGCCAUCUUGUGGCUAUCUGAAUCUAUGUUUGGUAGCUCUACUUAAAUGUCAGUGCUGAGAGAGAAUAUUUAUAUCUCAGGAUUAAAAUGAGGGGUCCUUGGUGUUCUCUGAGUUUGAUUGUUUUCUUGCAGACAUUUCAUUACCCAAACUACGUAACAUAAUCAGUGCUAGUGGAGAAUGAGGUUUGCUUUCAUUUUAUAUUCUAGGGCUUUGCCCUGUCAGUAUGGGUGGGGGUAGUCUUGGGCUGUUGGUUGGGCUGUUUACUCUUUAGUUGAGCUUUGGUUGGGAUGUUUAGCUUGUUUGGUAGUUCCUUGAUUGAGACAUUAUUUGCUUUUUGAUUCUUAAUCUCACGCUAAUCUUGGUGUUACUCUCUGCUCAUCUGGGUGUUUAUUGCUGGUGAGGAGAUGUUCUGAUCUAGCAGAUCGCAAUAGCAGAGCCCAUCCAUGAACACCCACUAGCAGUCAAAAUAAAUAGUGAAACCAUAGUUUCAACUGGUAAACUGCCCAUCCUAGACCAAGCCAAGUCCCUAAAACACUAGAGAAUUCCUGGAAGCAUAGUACCCUGACAAAUCAGCCAUCAACAGGCACAUAGGAAUAAACAAUUUCUUUUUACCAUUCAAAAGAGACAAUCAACAAACCAAAGUCAGACCAGAACACUUCCUUAUCAGCAAUCAUAUUGUGAAGCAUGCAGACGACAUGGCAGUCCGUCUGGUAAACUCACAAGAUUCCUUUUUCUUGCCAUGCACAUGUAAACAGUACAUAACCCGAACUAUACUUUGUCAUAUAUAUGGGCAUAUGCAUAAUUCUGUAUUUAUUUUUGUCAUACGUAGUGUUCAUUGGUGGUGACCCUUUGAGAGCUGAAUGUAAUGAAAUUUCAUUUUAAUGUAUGCCGAUUAGUGUACAUUCAAAGUAACAAUAAAGUUAUUCUAUUCUAAUAAACACCCAGAUGAGCAGAGAUUAAUGCCAAGAUUGACAUGAGACUAAUAAUCAAGAAGCAAACAAUAACCCAAUCAAGGAAUUGCCAAACAAGCUAAUAAUAAACAGCCCAAAUGAAGAACCACGGAGAACACUCCCACCAGCACUCAUAGGGCAUGCCACUACUAGAGUAUAAAAUGAGAGCAAGCCCCACUCUCUACUAGCACUGAUGUUACCUAGUUUGGGUAAUGAAGCAUCUGCAAGAAAACAACCAAGCUCUGAGACCAUAACGAUCCCUUAAAUGUCAGUGAAUGGAAAAAAACCUUGACUGCUAUCUAGAUGAUUUAUUUGCAGUUCUGCUUUCCACUGUCUGAUAAUCAGGUACAUAUAAUAGAAAUUUGAAUUAGGAAUACAGCAAGCUGCCUUGUAAUUGGACUAACUAGGAAUAUAUUUUGAGCAAAUGUUGUUCUCUGUCUGCUUUUUUAAAAGUACCAAAGGUUAAACCUAGUCUAUUAACUUGCAUUUUAUCCCUGACUUAUACUUCAUUUUAUUAUUCUGUUACAACUUUUAGUUAGUAGCUGCUUGCUAACUAUAUGUAUACUUACAUGGAUAAAAAAAACUAAUGCAGGCAGUAAUUUCACUAAAAAUAACUCUAGGCAUACUACUAUCUUAAUUACACUUCCAGGAAGUUAAAUUGCAUAAGAAUUUUGUUGGCUGUUCUUCAUGCAUUUGUAUGGGAACAGUCUCACAGACAUCAUAUGUAAGAUAGCAGGAUAUUCCACCCCAGGAUUGAGGUCAUACUAUACCAAAUAGUCUCCGUGUUUGCUUUGAGCUACCAGAGUCUUCUGAUGCAUUUAGCCAGUGAACACUUUUUCUUGUUUGUUACAAGUUACUCAAGUACAUUUAUUUCAUUUACUUUUUUUGAAAAAAUGAAGACAUUAAAAUCUUGCCCUGAACAUUAAAGACACCAGGCUGAACAGUUGUUCAGUAGUUUUUGAUUUUUCAAGACCUGAUAGUCAUCAACAUGCCAAGAUUAUCUGUCAGUAAGUGCUUUGACUUCUUGUAACCUCAUGCUUGUUUCAUGAGGACCACACAUCAGAGGUUUCCCAACCUUUUGGGCACCAGGGACCGGUUACGUGGAGAGAGGUUUUUCCAUGGACCAGAGGGGGCGUGGUUUUGUGUUCUGCCUGCACCCUGCAGAUGGGGCUUUGCUUGUUUGUGCGGAUCGGUUGCUGGCAUGGCGUGGCCUGAUACUGGUCCACGGACUGAGGGUUGGGGACCCCUGCUCUACAAUAUAACUUUUUUUGUAAGAGGAACUGCAAAGUAAUGCAAAUAGACAUUAGAAAAGACAAAGGCUGUAAAUAACUGUUGUGCACACUCAGAUCUCACAGAAAUACAAAGAGCUUAAUCACAUUGAUCCAUUCCCCCCAAAUAAAUUGUAUUUGCAAUUGUUAAUACUUAUUGUUUAAUCUAUUUGUUGUUUUAAAAUUUCAAUAAAAUGAUUUUAAAAUAUG